UUUUGGUCGCCGCCUUGCUCUCCUCACGCUCGCUCCGCUCCUGUCAGGGCACUCGGCGCGCGACUGGCGGCUUUCUGCGCACGCGCUCGUUUACCCACCCACCCCUCCUCCUCCCCCCCUCCCUUGCGCGCGCCCUGACGGCAGACGGGCCGGGGAAGCGAAGGAAGGAGACGGCGGGACGUAAACUCAACACUUCCCCCCCCCUCCCGUCUCUCUCGCGCACAGGGGUCCUCCUGUGUGCGCACGCGCAAGUCUCUUGGCACGCUGAAGCCGCUAAGGCGCGCCGAUGCCCUCACUCGUGGCUGAGGGUGAACGAGGGAUGGGGCCCGGAAGCGGUUCGAAGACGACUUGGGUGAGCGCCGAAAGGAAAAGCCUGGCGGAACCCUCCACGUGAGUGUGUGAGAUAGACGAGAUGAAACUUCAUGAUGCAUGUGAUGGAAAACUUGUGCCAUAAUAAAUCGGUCAAUCUUU